rnacentral:ncRNA from 1 species
UUGAUAGAGAGUUUGAUCCUGGCUCAGGACGAACGCUGGCGGCGUGCCUAAUACAUGCAAGUCGGGCGGAGCCCGA